GCUCUGAGUGGCUGUGAUAUGUUCAGUUGAGUCAGCAUAUCACAGUCAAUGCUUUGGGCUC
rnacentral:pre_miRNA from 1 species